rnacentral:rRNA from 1 species
CCUACGGGAGGCAGCAGUGGGGAAUAUUGCACAAUGGGGGAAACCCUGAUGCAGCGACGCCGCGUGAGUGAAGAAGUAAUUCGUUAUGUAAAGCUCUAUCAGCAGGGAAGAAAAUGACGGUACCUGAGUCAGAAGCCCCGGCUAACUACGUGCCAGCAGCCGCGGUAAUACGGAGGGGGCAAGCGUUAUCCGGAUUUACUGGGUGUAAAGGGAGCGUAGACGGCAGUGCAAGUCUGUAGUGAAAGGCGGGGGCUCAACCCCCGGACUGCACGGGAAACUGUACGGCUGGAGUGCAGGAGAGGUAAGUGGAAUUCCUAGUGUAGCGGUGAAAUGCGUAGAUAUUAGGAGGAACACCAGUGGCGAAGGCAGCUUACUGGACUGUAACUGACGUUGAGGCUCGAAAGCGUGGGGAGCAAACAGGAUUAGAUACCCUUGUAGUC